ACCAGAAACCUGCAGAAUAACUCACGAGGAACAAGGAGGCCUAAUGAAGAUUCAAGAAGAAAGACAAGAUCUGAAUAAGGUGGAGGAGAAAUAUCAGGAUCAGAAAGACCAUGCCGUCAAUGAAGAAAAAUCUCGUGCUUUGGCCUGCACGCGAGCUGUUACUCAACCACCAUGAGAAGACAAGCCAUCUAGUAUCAUCAGCUUAUGUUUUUUUCUUCUACAUCAGUUUUUCCACAAGGCCAUGUUACACGUUGUCUGCGACAGCUUUAAAUCUUCAACCAGCGUACAGGACUCCAGACCAUCCUUCAGUCAACGCCCAAUACAUCACUUCCAAUGACUACUGAACUUACAGCCAAUAAAAAACUUUGGGAAACCCCUUUCUGCAGCCAUGCCAUACAAAGGGACUUCUCUUAAAAACAAAGGCAACACAAGUACAAUCUCUAGCUGAACUGGUGCAUUUAAUAUAAAGUUUAAUAGCCUCACUGAGAAACUCAAUGUGAGGGUUUAUUGAUUUAAGGCUAUUCAGGUCUAAGCAUAUAUUGCUAUAACCAUUGGAUUUCACAUUUUCACUCUCUCAAACUCGUUCUUUCCCCACUUUGUUUCUGCAACUUGUUUAUGUGUUGUUUAUGUGUGUUCAUGUGUUGUGGUAGCUUCUGCCAUGUCUAUGAAGAAUCACUCUCGAAGGUUUUGAUGCCAAAACCAUUUCUCAUGAGACAAUAAAACUGAGAAAGCUCUUCAGAAAAUUAUCUCGAGUCUG